AGGGAUCAUUACUGAGUGAGGGCUCACGCCCGACCUCCAACCCUUUGUGAACCAAACUUGUUGCUUCGGGGGCGACCCUGCCGACGACUCCGUCGCCGGGCGCCCCCGGAGGUCUUCUAAACACUGCAUCUUUGCGUCGGAGUUUAAAACAAAUUAAACAAAACUUUCAACAACGGAUCUCUUGGUUCUGGCAUCGAUGAAGAACGCAGCGAAAUGCGAUAAGUAAUGUGAAUUGCAGAAUUCAGUGAAUCAUCGAAUCUUUGAACGCACAUUGCGCCCUUUGGUAUUCCGAAGGGCAUGCCUGUUCGAGCGUCAUUUCACCACUCAAGCCUGGCUUGGUAUUGGGCGUCGCGGUGUUCCGCGCGCCUUAAAGUCUUCCGGCUGAGCUGUCCGUCUCUAAGCGUUGUGGAUUUUUCAAUUCGCUUCGGAGUGCGGGUGGCCGCGGCCGUUAAAUCUUUAUUCAAAGGUUGACCUCGGAUCAGGUAGGGAUA
rnacentral:rRNA from 1 species